CACGUAGGGGGCGAGCGUUGUCCGGAUUUAUUGGGCGUAAAGAGCUCGUAGGUGGCUCGGUAAGUCGGGUGUGAAAUUUCGAGGCUCAACCUCGAGACGCCACCUGAUACUGCUGUGGCUAGAGUCCGGUAGGGGAGCGUGGAAUUCCUGGUGUAGCGGUGAAAUGCGCAGAUAUCAGGAGGAACACCAGCGGCGAAGGCGGCGCUCUGGGCCGGUACUGACACUGAGGAGCGGAAGCGUGGGGAUCAAACAGG
rnacentral:rRNA from 1 species